rnacentral:rRNA from 1 species
UGAAUACGAGACGCUAAGGCGUCGAAGUAGUGUAUGUCAUACUUCCAAGAAAAGCUUGCACUGUCAUAAGUAAAAAAUGCCUGUACCAUAACCGACACAGGUGGGUAGGUAGAGUAUACUAAGGGGCGCGAGAUAACUCUCUCUAAGGAACUCGGCAAAAUAACUCCGUAACUUCGGGAGAAGGAGUACCUUAUUCUAUAAGGUUGCAAUAACAAGAUCCAAGCAACUGUUUAUCAAAAACACAGGUCUCCGCUAAGUCGUAAGACGAUGUAUGGGGGCUGACGCCUGCCCAGUGCCAGAAGGUUAAAGAAGUCGGUUAGCAUUAGCGAAGCUGGUAACUGAAGCCCUGGUGAACGGCGGCCGUAACAAUAACGGUCCUAAGGUAGCGAAAUUCCUUGUCGGGUAAGUUCCGACCCGCACGAAAGGCGUAAUGAUUUGGAUACUGUCUCGGAGAGGGGCUCGGUGAAAUAGACUUGUCUGUGAAGAUGCGGACUACCUGCACCAGGACAGAAAGACCCUAUGAAGCUUUACUGUAACUUGAAAUUGAAAUUGGACUUUAUUCGCGCAGUAUAGGUGGGAGGUGUUGAUUAUAAUCUUGCGGGAUUAUUGGAGCCAUCAGUGAGAUACCACUCUUGUAAUGUUAGAUUUCUAACUUUGAAUCAUUAUCUGGUCAAAGGACAGUUUCAGGCGGGCAGUUUGACUGGGGCGGUCGCCUCCCAAACGGUAACGGAGGCGUACAAAGGUUUCCUCUGAACGGGUAGAAAUCGUAUCUAGAGUGUAAAGGCAUAAGGAAGCUUGACUGUGAGACCUACAAGUCGAACAGGGACGAAAGUCGGUCUUAGUGAUCUGACGGUACUGAGUGGAAAGGCCGUCACUCAACGGAUAAAAGUUACUCUAGGAUAACAGGCUGAUCUCCCCCAAGAGUUCACAUCGACGGGGAGGUUUGGCACCUCGAUGUCGGCUCAUCGCAUCCUGGGGCGGUAGUACGUCCCAAGGGUUGGGCUGUUCGCCCAUGAAAGCGGUACGCGAGCUGGGUUCAGAACGUCGUGAGACAGUUCGGUCCAUAUCCGGUGUAGGCGUUAGAAUAUUGAGAGGAGCCUUCUUUAGUACGAGAGGACCGAGAAGGACAUACCUCUGGUGUACCAGUUAUCGUGCCAACGGUAAACGCUGGGUAGCUAUGUAUGGAGUGGAUAACCGCUGAAAGCAUCUAAGUGGGAAGCCCACCUCAAGAUAAGUAUUCGC